UUUCCUUCUUGCUGCAUCAGGAUGAUGAGAAUUGAAGUCUGGUUUAACCCGUCCUUAACCUUCCCUGAGGCCCUGGAUGGGUAGUUCUGUAGCUCCCGGCCUCUUGCUGACCACUGGACCAAAAUACACAGAAGAAUCCUAUACAAGCCACUAUGGAAGGAGGGGUCAGGAUUACAGCAGAGGAGACUGGCACACAGAGUGUUAAGUGACACCCACUCAAUCCACCCCGAAGCUGUUACACUUAAUUAACCCUCAAACUGCCCAGUGAGUUUACAGGCUGGUAACCUACAUCUUUGUCUACGAGAAUCCCAUCUCCCUGCUCUGCGGCGCUAUCAUCAUCUGGCGCUUUGCUGGCAAUUUCGAGAGAACCGUGGGCACCGUCCGCCACUGCUUCUUCACCGUGAUCUUCGCCAUCUUCUCCGCUAUCAUCUUCCUGUCAUUCGAGGCUGUGUCAUCACUGUCAAAGCUGGGGGAAGUGGAGGAUGCCAGAGGUUUCACCCCAGUGGCCUUUGCCAUGCUGGGAGUCACCACCGUCCGUUCUCGGAUGAGGCGGGCCCUGGUGUUU
rnacentral:sRNA from 1 species